GCUUUCAUGGUGUAAAGGUAACACGCUUGGCGCGUAACUGAGAAGUCCAGGGUUCGAGUCUCUGCGAGCGCA
rnacentral:tRNA from 1 species